rnacentral:rRNA from 1 species
UGGGGAAUUUUGGACAAUGGGGGCAACCCUGAUCCAGCCAUGCCGCGUGAGUGAAGAAGGCCUUCGGGUUGUAAAGCUCUUUCGGCCGGGAAGAAGUCGCUCAAGCUAAUACCUUGGGUGGAUGACGGUACCGGAAGAAGAAGCACCGGCUAACUACGUGCCAGCAGCCGCGGUAAUACGUAGGGUGCGAGCGUUAAUCGGAAUUACUGGGCGUAAAGCGUGCGCAGGCGGUUUCGUAAGACAGAUGUGAAAUCCCCGGGCUUAACCUGGGAACUGCGUUUGUGACUGCGAGACUUGAGUGCGGCAGAGGGGGGUGGAAUUCCACGUGUAGCAGUGAAAUGCGUAGAGAUGUGGAGGAACACCGAUGGCGAAGGCAGCCCCUGGGUCGACACUGACGCUCAUGCACGAAAGCGUGGGGAGCAAACAGGAUUAGAUACCC